GACAGAGGGGGCAAGCGUUGCUCGGAAUUACUGGGCGUAAAGGGCGCGUAGGCGGAAUGGCAAGUCGGUCGUGAAAUCCUUCGGCUCAACCGAAGAACGUCGAUCGAAACUGCCGUUCUUGAGGACUGGAGAGGAGACUGGAAUUUACGGUGUAGCGGUGAAAUGCGUAGAUAUCGUAAGGAAGACCAGUGGCGAAGGCGGGUCUCUGGACAGUUCCUGACGCUGAGGCACGAAGGUCAGGGGAGCAAACGGG
rnacentral:rRNA from 1 species